UACUCGAGUGGCGAACGGGUGAGUAACACGUGGGUGAUCUGCCCUGCACUUCGGGAUAAGCCUGGGAAACUGGGUCUAAUACCGGAUAGGACCACAUUUUGGAUGGUGUGGUGGAAAGUUUUUCGGUGUGGGAUGAGCUCGCGGCCUAUCAGCUUGUUGUGGGGUAAUGGCCUACCAAGGCGUCGACGGGUAGCCGGCCUGAGAGGGUGUACGGCCACAUUGGGACUGAGAUACGGCCCAG
rnacentral:rRNA from 1 species